AACGAACGCUGGCGGCAUGCGUAACACAUGCAAGUCGAACGAGAUCUUCGGGUCUAGUGGCGCACGGGUGCGUAACGCGUGGGAAUCUGCCCUUUGGUUCGGAAUAACAGUUGGAAACGACUGCUAAUACCGGAUGAUGACGAAAGUCCAAAGAUUUAUCGCCAGAGGAUGAGCCCGCGUAGGAUUAGCUAGUUGGUGUGGUAAAGGCGCACCAAGGCGACGAUCCUUAGCUGGUCUGAGAGGAUGAUCAGCCACACUGGGACUGAGACACGGCCCAGACUCCUACGGGAGGCAGCAGUGGGGAAUAUUGGACAAUGGGCGAAAGCCUGAUCCAGCAAUGCCGCGUGAGUGAUGAAGGCCUUAGGGUUGUAAAGCUCUUUUACCCGGGAUGAUAAUGACAGUACCGGGAGAAUAAGCUCCGGCUAACUCCGUGCCAGUCGCCGCGGUAA
rnacentral:rRNA from 1 species